AAGAGACAGCAGCCGCCGCGGUAAUACAGAGGGUGCAAGCGUUAAUCGGAUUUACUGGGCGUAAAGGGCGCGUAGGUGGUUAUGUAAGUGAGAUGUGAAAUCCCCGGGCUCAGCCUGGGAACUGCAUCUUAUACUGCGUAGCUGGAGUGCAGUAGAGGGUAGUGGAAUUUCCGGUGUAGCGGUGAAAUGCGUAGAUAUCGGAAGGAACACCAGUGGCGAAGGCGGCUACCUGGACUGACACUGACACUGAGGCGCGAAAGCGUGGGGAGCAAACAGGAUUAGAUACCCCCGUAGUCCCUGUCUCUUAUAA
rnacentral:rRNA from 1 species